AAGACAAAAGAAAUGUAAAGGAAAAGUGAAUUGGAGAAAGAAAUUCAAUUGGGGUUUUUUUCAUAAGGGUUUUCUCGCUGUGAGUGUCGCAGCCCUUGGAGUAGGGUUAUAUGAGAAGAGGUAACUAACAACUGAAAUCCAAUGGUGGAAGUGCGAACUAUUUCCAGUGUAGUAGAGUUGCCCUUUUCUUUAAUGACUGUUAUGUCUACUAAGUUUGGUGGGCGUGGUAUAGGCGGCAACGUGCUGGGCUGGUUAACGCGUUAGAUUUACAGGGAUUUUGUAUGCCAUCGGUGUAAAAUCGGCGAUGUUGAAGAUGGAAUACACUAGUCAUGGCGAGAAAUUCUGCAUAGAGGAUGAAAGUGAUUGUGUUGGCGACGUAGUCAGUUUAGAUGCGGAAGAAUUUGAUGUUGAGAAAUUGGAUCCAAGUGGCCAAGAUGACCUGUCGGAUUAUGAAAAUGUAUUUGGUCUUACUGCAGCUGAAAUAGAGAACAAAGUUUUCAGAACGGAGGAACGUGCUUAUGAAUUCUAUAUGAGGUUUGGGAAGUGGCAUGGGUUUGGUGUACGCAAGGGAGACUAUGGGAAGGAUGACGACAGAAAUCUAAUUAGGAGGAGAUUCUUUUGCAAUAGAGCUGGGUUAAGGGAUGAAAAGCACUACAACAGAUUGAAUAGAAAAAAAUGUCAUAAGCCUGAGAAAGAAAGUUCAAAUUGGAAGAUUCAGAAAGUCGUCCUCGAGCGCAACCAUGAGUUAGUAGUUAAGUGUAUGGUACACUUGAUUUCUAAGUUCCGUCGGGUUUUAGGUGCGGCAAAGGAUCAGCUAGAUGGUAUGCAAAGUUAUGGGCUACCUACGUCAAAGAUAUUUGGGUACAUGGUAGGGAUUACUGGAGGGUAUUCACUAUUGGGUUUCACAAAGAAGGAUGCUUAUAACUACCUUGACCCAGACAAAGCGCACAAGAAUUGCAGAUGGGGAUGCAAAUUCUGUCAUUGUUUAUUUUGAGGGAAAGGCUUCUGUGGACUGAUGAGCGGAUAAUUUAUACGCUUUUUGACAUUGUUUUUAGUAUUUUCUGGCUGAAAUUGAGGGACUUGAGCAAAAAUCUGAUUCAGAGACUAAAAAGGACUGCAGAUGCUGUUGGUUUCUAACCUCCCUGCACUCGAAGUGGAUUUUCUGGAGCUACAGAAGCCCAAUUGGCGCGCUCUCAACGGCGUUGGAAAGUAGAUAUCCUGGGCUUUCCAGCAAUAUAUAAUAGUCCAUACUUUACCCGAGAUUUGAUGGCCCAAACCGGCGUUUCAAAUCAGCUCAAAACUGCCCGGCGUUAAACACCGGAAC